UACAGAGGUGGCAAGCGUUGUUCGGAAUUACUGGGCGUAAAGGGCGCGUAGGUGGCCUUCUUAGUCAGACGUGAAAUCCCCGGGCUUAACUCGGGAACUGCGUCUGAUACUGGAAGGCUGGAGUUCGGGAGAGGAAUGUGGAAUUCCAGGUGUAGCGGUGAAAUGCGUAGAUAUCUGGAGGAACACCGGUGGCGAAGGCGGCAUUCUGGACCGAAACUGACGCUGAGGCGCGAAAAGCCCAGGGGGAGCAAACAGG
rnacentral:rRNA from 1 species